UCACUCUGGUUUCUCUUCAUAACGCACAAGUCUUUCACCUUUUACUAAAGACUUCCUUGGAGGGGAACGCUGGUGAGUAUGAACCCUUUUUGGUGGGCUGGCUGUUUGUCCAAGCCU